rnacentral:lncRNA from 1 species
CGCCGCAGCUCGCGUGACGCACCGCGGGGCCUCGCCCGGGUGUUCGCUCCGCCGCCUGUCCGCGGAUCGGCGCUGCGAGCCCCGCGGCUGCCUGCGGGACACCUGAGCGCGGAGGGUGCGGCACCUUGGCACCUUGACCCUGUGGCAGGGACAUCUCGGCCCAGGAAAGAAUGAGGUUUAGGCACGGCCUAACCACCUAAGUGAGGGCACUGAAGCUGCCGGGGGAAGGGCAAGGUCCGCGUUGCAGAGCCCAAGCCCAGUGGCGCAGGAUUUGUUUUGGUCUCAGUUUGCUUCAUCUCUGGAAUGGAGAUGGUUUCCUAUGUGAUCAUGAAAAUUUCUCCCAGCUCUGAAGACCUUUUAUUUUCAUCCCCCAUGAAGUGGCGCUGAAAGAUCACGAUAGCACAGUUCCAUGAUGUGAAAUACCACAAGUCUGCAAUUUUUCGGUCUUGAGAGUGUCGCUGGGCUGAGAGGAUGGAAAUCUUUCAGUAAUUAUACCAGUUUGUAUUCGUCUCACAUUUGGGACCAAAUACAAAUCCGAUCCACUCUUUCUCCCUGUGAAUAUUCAUAAAAAACAAAGUGCCAAUUCUGGUCUAAUCAUGUAUGGAACCAAAUAUGUUGAUGAGUCCUAAGUAUAUACUGUAUGUAUGUAUACAUAUGAAUAUAUAUAUUUGUACACACUAAUUUUGCUUGUGUCCUCCUCUGUGCAAUUUGUUUGUUUAGUAUAGGGGUUGCUGUUAUAAUGUGUUAAUAAGCUGCUGAAAGCUUGGCACCUAUUACUUGAAAUGACAGCUAUGUUAGAAGCCUAUUAACACUCCAUAGCAGCAGCUCUGCAGCUACUAGAAAUGAAUUUCAAAGAAGGUAAAUGAACAAAAGCGAUUCAUAUCUCUAAGGAAAGCAAAUACCAUGCCUAGAACCAUAUAUACUUUGGAAAUGUACAGUGUAUAAAAUGAAAAACCUCUUCCAGUUAAAGAAACAGCGGAAGGGAAUAUUUGGGGAAAGGAAGACUGCCUAAAAGAUUUCCAAACAACCUUGAAGAUGUAAAUGUAAAGGAUACCAAACAUAACUUCCUCUCUUUGUUUCUAUUGUAUUUAAACCAGAUCCAUGUCAAACUUAUAAGAACAGAAUAUAGUACAGGUAGAGGAAAUUCACUUUUCAUGAGCAAAAGUUAAAUCAUCUGGAUUUAGCUCAAACUUCUUUUUCUUCAUUUCUGAGCUUAGAAGGACACCCUUUGCUAUUGUUCUCGGAAGCAGGGCUCUUUAUGAGUCAGCUUGCUCUGCUUUUGAACUACUUUACUUACUUUUGACUGUCAUUGGAAUUUGCAAGAUGGUUGAAAGUCCUGGGUAAACCUUAACCAUGAUAAUAAAAAUGUGGUAAGUUAA